rnacentral:lncRNA from 10 species
CUGACCGGAAGUGUGGCUGUGGGUGGUUUACCGCCAGACUGUGAUGGUGGCGGGGCACGGCUGCGUGACUGUUGUGAGAGUUUCAGCCUGGAGAGGACCACCCUGCUGGAAGGGUGUCCUGGGAAUGAAGUCCACGUAGGUGAGAACACACACCAGGGAUAUGUAGCUGGAUGGACUCAGCAGCCCUUGGGGAAUAAAGCCAGCUCAACUCAGCUGUACUUCUCACCACGUGGCAAAGGAUGGACCAAAGGCUGGGAGCAACUGGGAGUGUCUGGGACUGUGCCCCAAGGAAGCCACACAAACUGUGUAGCCAGACAGUCUGUCUGGGAGGAGAAGGAAGGAAUUUAUCUACCAGCUCCCAUCUCUCAUGGACCAAAUUCUUCCCCACUGUACAUAACUCCAUAUCACUUUCAGAUUGCAUAAGGGUGAGAGCUGAAUGUAGGCUCCAACAGGAAGACGGCAUUGAAGCCUGGUUGCUUGUUACUACUCAGAAUGCCAUCUACAAAAGGAAAUUAUGUAAAAAGCAAUAAAGAACCCCUUUUGUUCUUGCAGGAGUCAGUGUUUCAUAACUCUUUCUGUGAUAUCGUCUGUAUAAGUUGAACCUCUAAAGAACCUUAUCUAAGUUGCCACGACCUUACUCAUUACCCUCAAGAAAGAUGAACAAUUUAAAGGGGGAAAAAAGGAAGUGAAAAAAAUGGCGGAUACGAGGCAGAACUAACCUGCAGCUUCCACUCGAAGGGACAGAGCAGAGUGUGGAGACCCACAACUGGAACUUUUUCUCCAAGAACUACCACAGGAACAUACCAAGAAAGCCAAGAGAAUCCACAGAACCUUUGGAGGAAGUGGUUUGUCACUGCAGGCUCUGUGGGACAGCUGAGGAACUGCCAGCGUCCUCUUUCCUGUGUUGGUCACAUCCUCAAAUGCCUUUGGGGCUGGAUGAACAGUCGGCUUGUGGUGUCCUGAUGAGUGGCGACCUUCUCAGCGAGGACUGACAACCACACGGGUUCCUACUUCAUGACCAGACCAGGGUCACCAUGGAGACAUUUCUCAUUGGAUCAGCUUAUUGUCCUGAAAACUCAAGACAAUGGAACAAUGCCAAGCAGUAAGAUAUGGAUACAAUGAGUAAAAUCUAAAGAUUGGUUCCUUUAAGACAAAGGGAUCAACAUGUAAUAACUUGGAAAUAUAUAGCAAAGAGAGAGCCAAAGACGUCUUCUAGCCCUGCACUUUGCCUCCUACUAGAACCAGUGGGAAGAUGCUCCAGGAAGUUAGCAGAGUCAGUUACAGUUAACUGCAGCUCAGUGUAAGGAAGAAACUCAACAGUGGAGUCAUUUUGAGAGGGAAUAGGUUAUUCUGAAAAGUAGGGAGUUUCCCUUCCCUAUGGGAGUUGAAUCCAAGGUUGGAUCUUUUUUUUUUUUUUUUUUUUUUGAGAUGUGGUUUUCCUAUGUUGCCCAGGCUGGAGUGUACUGGCUAUUCACAGGCAUAAUCACAGCAUAGCACACCCUUGAACUCCUGGGCUCAAGGAUCCUCCCACCUCAGCAUCCUGAGUAGGUGGGACUACAGGUACACGCCACUGCACCUGGCCUGGAUGAUCAUUAUUAAUGAAUGUUUUGUAGAAGGGAUAUAAACAUGAGAUUGGUAGAUGAUCUGAAUGACUUUUAUGUUUGAGAGUAUUUUAUUCCAUACUCACUGUAGCCUUAUGUUCCCAAUUUUAAAUACAUAUAUAUAUACACACAUAUAUAUACACACACAGUUAUAUAUGCUAAUAUGUUACUUAUGACUAAAUAGUAUUUAUUUUUUAUGUUUCUCUAAUAUCAUUUAUAUUAAGAAAUUAAUUAAUCAAAAAAUCAAUCUUUUGUCAGACCAAAAGCUUGAAAACAAAAUAUGGCCUGUAUAACUAUAUUUCAUGGAAAAAAUAAUAAUCCAAACCAUUUCUCAGUGGCGUUUGUUCCUGGUUCCUUUUCCAGUACAUUCAUUCACUCAUGAAAAAUCAUUUUUGGGCUCAAAUGGUAGAGAAAACAAAGCCAAAAUUCUGAGCAGCAGUCCCAACCCUAGGAAGCUGUGUGGUUAUAUUAUCUAACAUCUAAAGGGCUAUUUAACCAUUCUAGGACUUGGUUUUGUCAUUUGUAAAAGGAGUGAAAUAACAGAAGCUGCCUUACAGGAUCGUUGUAAAGAUUAAUGUGUGAAUAUACGUGAGCCACUUAGAACAAUGGCUGGUACAUAGUAAGUACUAUUUGAGUGAUAGCUUUCAUUAUCAUCAUCAUUCAACAACAAUAUUGUUAUUCCAGGCUUGGGGAGCAUAAACACGAAUAGGACAGGACCUCUUUUUCUCUAAAGAUGCAUAGUCCGGCUAGAGAAAGCAUGUAGGUAAACAGUGCAGGAAGGGGAGAGAAUCACUGUAAUGGGGAAAUGUGCUAGCAACUCCAAAUGGGAGAUUGCAGAGAAGGCUGUCAGAGAAAUAGGCUGUUGAGCUGGGUUUUGAUGACUGACAAGGCAUUUUCCAGGUAGAGGAGGGAAAAGUGAUCUGGGCUGAAGGAUGUCACUUUGUGUUUAGCAAUCCUGAGGUUGCCUUAAAUCAGCCUCAAUCACUUCUGUUGAGUAGAAGCCUAUGCUUUCUGUCCUGCCCUGGUUCUUGGCUGCAGGUCACAAAACAUUUCAGUCCAUUCAAGAAUCCUUGAGAGCUCUCCUGGGGACCUCCUGGGCAAUGCAGAGGUCAGACAGCAGAGCCACAUUCUCAGGGAGAGUGGCACAGUCAAGGGAGAAGACAGGUGAAGAGAAUGUUUUCCUGUGAAGGUGGUGAGCUGAUUGCCUUAGAGAGCGUGAGCUCCUGCCUUAGAGAGCAGGUGAACUCUCUCCAAGAAAGCAAAUGGAAACAAGCAAGCAAAACACGUUUCUUUCUCUUGUGUCUACACCCCCAGCCCCCACCACCCAUGAGUAAAGUGUCUUAUCUAGGUCUUACAAUCAGCCUUCCUAUCCAAUAUUCAGAUUUAUCUGAACAUGAGACCCAACGGUAACUCUUGUCCCCCACGGCUCACGUGAUGUAAAGGCUUACCUGGAGGAUCUCGCCUAUUCAUAGCAUCUUUGUCUCCAUGUCCUUAUCAUCAUGUCCUCUUUCGGGAAGCAAAAGAAAAGACCUUUUGCUCAUUUCACUUACUUGAGGAGACUGUUUCAAAUUGCUAUUUCUAUAUGGCAAAUUUUACCUCCACCCUGACUUAACUAGGUGAGGGUAGAAAAUGAGACCUGUGGAACAGAGGAAAAGCGAAUGCAAGGGGAUGAGCGGCAGCAGCAAGAACAUCCUGGACCAUUGGGGUGAGAUCAAUGAAACCCACACUGGAGCCCAGGCCCUGAUGUCCCCUGAGCUCCUCCUCCACAGCCUGUCAACUCCUGUGUCUCUGCAGUCCUAAAUAAACAAGAAGCAGCAGGAGUUGAUUUGGGUUUAGUCAUGGAUGGCUCCCUACUCUCUCUUCGUAUUGAAGCUCAUUUUAUCCAAGAUGUUAUACAGAUGAGGGACUUACUGCUAACCUUGUUCUCAGGGAAGCUCCAAACUAAAGAAUCAAAAAAUAUGAUAAACUUGGGCCAAAAAUCCCAUCCACAGUUAUGGGAAUACCAUGACUGGGCAUAUGAGACACCUGAUUUUCAGCCUAAGGAAGCACCAUCGGCGAGACAUACAGUAUCACAAUCUGGCUAUAUUUUAUGCUCCCUUUCCAUCAGUCUGGGAUAAAUUGUGUGUGUCAAGUUCGGCAAGCAUGGGUGAGCUAAAUGGAGCUGUUAGCUGUCUUUUCAACAUAUUUAUCUGUUUCAUUGCCUACUCUAGGAUGUCUUUGUGAUCAUUAUAUAGGGAUCACAGAUAAUAGACUAUUUGAAAUCUUACUUCAAUUAAAACUUAAUCCUCAGAUGUCAAUAACAGUGUUUUAUACAUAAGGUUACAAUAAAAACAAUGUCUUUUGUGCAUAUCAUUAAAACAACAACAGAAAAUCAAGAAUAAGAAAUGGCCUGAACAUUUUCUAAAACAAGAUGCUCUACUAUGUCGUGUACCUUGUCACUGUGAUAAAAUUAUGGUUAUUUCAAUAUCUAUGCAACUUGACAAAGUCACACAGGAUUUAUAAGAAAAAAAAUC